UGGGGAAUAUUGGACAAUGGGGGGAACCCUGAUCCAGCCAUGCCGCGUGUGUGAAGAAGGCCUUAUGGUUGUAAAGCACUUUAAGCGAGGAGGAGGGUACUGGUAUUAAUACUACCAGGUACUGGACGUUACUCGCAGAAUAAGCACCGGCUAACUCUGCGCCAGCAGCCGCGGUAAUACAGAGGGUGCGAGCGUUAAUCGGAAUUACUGGGCGUAAAGCGCGCGUAGGUGGUUCGUUAAGUUGAAUGUGAAAGCCCCGGGCUCAACCUGGGAACUGCAUCCAAAACUGGCGAGCUAGAGUAGGGCAGAGGGUGGUGGAAUUUCCUGUGUAGCGGUGAAAUGCGUAGAUAUUGGAAGGAACACCAGUGGCGAAGGCGACCACCUGGGCUCAUACUGACACUGAGGUGCGAAAGCGUGGGGAGCAAACAGG
rnacentral:rRNA from 1 species